GACCAACAUGGCUGCUAGGAGUCAACACCUGUGGAUUGUUGGAACCAUGUGGCACACGAGUGGAAUAAGGUUCAGAUUUUUCAGCUGCAGGGGAGAUGCUGAAGCUUCUGAAACACUAAGCUGGAAAGUGCUAAAAUGCCGUGUUAGGCUAAAGGUAAGGAUGCAGGGUCUAAAUGCUGCCGUCUUUGAACCAAGCCACCUGCAGCAGCCGUACUGCACCUCCACACUUGCUCCUUCCUCGUCAGGGCAGCCGUCCAGAGAACCAUCAGCGGGAGGUGCUCUGCUAAUCCUGGUGGCUGUGUGUUGGGUGCCGGGCGUGCGGCGUUCGCCCCAGGGAUCCCCCGUCGGAUCAGCUGUUGCUGGCCGAGCCCGCAGCUAACGGAGCCCCAGGGAGCUGCAGGAGUGAUUUCUCAUUGGACCUGACGGACGGUGAUUUGUUCCCUCAGAACCGCCCCUUUAGACGGACGUCUGGGCCCGGACUCAAUCUCCCUCCGUCCGGUGGACGUGUGAGAACUUGACAGGUUGAUGCUCGGGCGUAAUUGUUGGUCACGCGUAUGAAGUUUACUAAAAUGGAAAUUGACCCUCGCCGGUUGUUUUACAGCAGAAUGACCUAAUUGACUGUAUUGACAUUAUUGAGCCCUCCGCAGGCUGCGGGAGGCUUUCUGGUGACCUCAGCCCGUAAACACGUUGGCAGAGAUCAAUAGCACCGAGUCAGAGUUCACUUGGCUUCUGUGGCCGGUUGAUUGCAGAAUGAACUCCAUUAAAAGUUUCCAAAGCCCAGAAGUCAACCAUCAUUUGGCUCCGAUGUCCCAGCAUCUGCAAAAAACAAUCCCAAAACAACUGUUACUGCAGUGGAGGUUGGGUUUGAGCCUUUUAGGUGCGACUCUGAGGUUAAAACCGAAGGCCGACUUCACGGAGCCUCGGCCCAGACCUGUUUCUGGCCCGGCGACAUCAGCGUCUGAUCCGCGGUGGCCGUUUGCUCGUCGCCGCUGCCUCGCGGCUGCUGUGUCUUGUGUCUGAC
rnacentral:lncRNA from 1 species